AGCUUUGUACAGUGGCAGUAUUGUGUAGCCAAUGAGGUUUUUCCAGGGGCGAUUAUUGCUAAUUAACAACUUCUCCCAAUAUCCCAUUAUGACGACUUGAAAUAUAGUUGGCAUUGGCAAUUUUUGGCAGUCUCUACAAGGA
ensembl:snRNA U4 U4 spliceosomal RNA